UACGUAGGUGGCUAGCGUUGUCCGGAUUUACUGGGCGUAAAGAGCGCGCAGGCGGUCGUUCAAGUCGAGUGUGAAAGCCCCCGGCUCAACUGGGGAGGGUCACUCGAUACUGAUCGACUCGAAGGCAGGAGAGGGAAGCGGAAUUCCCGGGUGUAGUGGUGAAAUGCGUAGAUAUCUGGAGGAACACCGGUGGCGAAGGCGGCAUUCUGGACCGACAUUGACGCUGGAGGAGCGAAAGCCAGGGGAGCAAAGCGGG
rnacentral:rRNA from 1 species